rnacentral:rRNA from 8 species
GUUUAUUUGAUAGUACCUUACUACAUGGAUACCUGUGGUAAUUCUAGAGCUAAUACAUGCUAAAAACCUCGACUUCGGAAGGGGUGUAUUUAUUAGAUAAAAAACCAAUGCCCUUCGGGGCUCCUUGGUGAAUCAUAAUAACUUAACGAAUCGCAUGGCCUUGCGCCGGCGAUGGUUCAUUCAAAUUUCUGCCCUAUCAACUUUCGAUGGUAGGAUAGUGGCCUACCAUGGUGGCAACGGGUAACGGGGAAUUAGGGUUCGAUUCCGGAGAGGGAGCCUGAGAAACGGCUACCACAUCCAAGGAAGGCAGCAGGCGCGCAAAUUACCCAAUCCCGACACGGGGAGGUAGUGACAAUAAAUACUGAUACGGGGCUCUUUUGGGUCUCGUAAUUGGAAUGAGUACAAUCUAAAUCCCUUAACGAGGAACAAUUGGAGGGCAAGUCUGGUGCCAGCAGCCGCGGUAAUUCCAGCUCCAAUAGCGUAUAUUAAAGUUGUUGCAGUUAAAAAGCUCGUAGUUGAACCUUGGGUCUGGCUGGCCGGUCCGCCUCACCGCGAGUACUGGUCCGGCUGGACCUUUCCUUCUGGGGAACCUCAUGGCCUUCACUGGCUGUGGGGGGAACCAGGACUUUUACUGUGAAAAAAUUAGAGUGUUCAAAGCAGGCCUUUGCUCGAAUACAUUAGCAUGGAAUAAUAGAAUAGGACGUGCGGUUCUAUUUUGUUGGUUUCUAGGACCGCCGUAAUGAUUAAUAGGGAUAGUCGGGGGCGUCAGUAUUCAGCUGUCAGAGGUGAAAUUCUUGGA